UACGUAGGGUGCAAGCGUUUAAUCGGAAUUACUGGGCGUAAAGCGUGCGCAGGCGGUUUUGUAAGUUUGUCGUGAAAUCCCCGGGCUCAACCUGGGAAUUGCGAUGGAGACUGCAAGGCUAGAAUCUGGCAGAGGGGGGUAGAAUUCCGCGUGUAGCAGUGAAAUGCGUAGAGAUGCGGAGGAACACCGAUGGCGAAGGCAGCCCCCUGGGCCAAUACUGACGCUCAGGCACGAAAGCGUGGGGAGCAAACGAGG
rnacentral:rRNA from 1 species